GACGAACGCUGGCGGCGUGCCUAAUACAUGCAAGUUGAGCGCUGAAGGUUGGUACUUGUACCAACUGGAUGAGCAGCGAACGGGUGAGUAACGCGUGGGGAAUCUGCCUUUGAGCGGGGGACAACAUUUGGAAACGAAUGCUAAUACCGCAUAAAAACUUUAAACACAAGUUUUAAGUUUGAAAGAUGCAAUUGCAUCACUCAAAGAUGAUCCCGCGUUGUAUUAGCUAGUUGGUGAGGUAAAGGCUCACCAAGGCGAUGAUACAUAGCCGACCUGAGAGGGUGAUCGGCCGCAUUGGGACUGAGACACGGCCCAAACUCCUACGGAAGGCAGCAGUAGGGAAUCUUCGGAGAUAGACGAAAGUCGGACCGAGAAACGCCGCGUGAGUGAAGAAGGUUUUCGGAUCGUAAAACUCUGUUGGUAGAGAAGAACGUUGGUGAGAGUGGAAAGCUCAUCAAGUGACGGUAACUACCCAGAAAGGGACGGCUAACUACGUG
rnacentral:rRNA from 1 species